UACAGUCGUAACUUUUAGCAGAACUGUA
rnacentral:sRNA from 1 species